rnacentral:rRNA from 1 species
CUAUACAUGACUCUGCGCAUAUCAAUAAGCGGAGGAAAAGAAACUAACAAGGAUUCCCCUAGUAACGGCGAGUGAAGCGGGAAGAGCUCAAAUUUGAAAUCUUAAAGGGUUUCCCUUUACGAAUUGUAGUUUAAAGAAGUGUUUUCUGUUGAGGUUUUGGUAAAAGUUCUUUGGAAUAGGACAUCAUAGAGGGUGAGAAUCCCGUAUUUGACCUUUACUUUCAACUUUGUGAUACACUUUCAAAGAGUCGGAUUGUUUGGGAAUGCAGUCCAAAAUGGGUGGUAAAUUUCAUCUAAAGCUAAAUAUUGGCGAGAGACCGAUAGCGAACAAGUACCGUGAGGGAAAGAUGAAAAGAACUUUGAAAAGAGAGUUAAACAGUACGUGAGAUUGUCAAAAGGGAAGCGUUUGACACCAGUGUUGUUUUUCUGAAAAUCAAUUAAAGAACUGUUUAUGCUAAGUUGUUUAGACUUUAUCAGCUAACUGUUUAGUUUUGAGCUUUUCUUUAAUGCACUUUUCAGUUAACAAGUCAACAUCAAUUUCUUUUGCUGUAAAAAAGCUUGAGGAAGGUGGCUUGAGAUUCGUCUUAAGUGUUUAUAGCCUCUUGCCUAUGCAGUCGGAGAGAUUGAGGUCUGCAGCGUAGAUCCUUCGGGGCUAAAUGCAUUUGUGCUAAGUUAUAGCAUUUUAUAGACAACUUGUUGACUAUGAUUUGUCUUGUAGCUUACUCGCUUAUGUUAUUUUACCUACGCUUAGGAUGUUGAGCGCAUGUCUCUCUCU